AGAGUUUGAUCAUGGCUCAGAAUCAACGCUGGUGGCGUGCCUAACACAUGCAAGUCGAACGAGAAAGCGGGGGCAACCCCGUGAGUACAGUGGCGACCGGGUGAGUAACACGUGACUAACCUACCCUCAAGUGGGGAAUAACUCCGGGAAACCGGGGCUAAUACCGCAUAACAUCGGCGCUGUAGUGGCGUCGAUCAAAGUAGCAAUACGCUGGAGGAGGGGGUCGCGGCUGAUUAGCUAGUUGGUGAGGUAACGGCUCACCAAGGCGGUGAUCAGUAUCCGGCCUGA
rnacentral:rRNA from 1 species